UACAGAGGGGGGCAAGCGUUUAUUCGGAAUUAUUGGGGCGUAAAGGGCGCGUAGGCGGCCGUGCAAGUGGAAGGUGAAAGUCCCUCCGGCUCAACCGAGGAACUGCCUUUCAAACUGCUUGGCUUGGAGUCCGGGAGAGGUGAGUGGAAUUCCCAGUGUAGCGGUGAAAUGCGUAGAUAUUGGGAGGAACACCAGUGGCGAAGGCGGCUCACUGGACCGGAACUGACGCUGAGGCG
rnacentral:rRNA from 1 species